rnacentral:lncRNA from 1 species
GGUCUCUAUCACUUAUGGUUUUCCAGUUUAAAAUACAUUUCAAAAUUUCAAAAACAAAAGGGGAAUUAACUCUCAUAUGGAAUCUCUAUAAGGCUUCGGUAAAAAAAAAACAGAACGUCCUGAGGAUGUAACGCGCCAUUUGGAAAAAUAAAUUUGUCGGUUUCUUAAACGGUUGUGAAGAUUAAGCGAUAACAAAAAAAACAGUGUUCGGGGAGAUAACUCUUAUAUGGGAAAGUAUUGGGUUUCGCGCGGUGUCAGUUUCAAAAGCGCACAAACUGUUCGAUAUCAUAUUUCAUUUAUUUAAGCGACAUCUUGCGAAACAAAAAAACAGCGAAGGAAAAAAAUGUUGGCGGAAGAAAAAAAAUAAUAAUAAUAAUAAUAAUAAUAAUCAGAACAAAAACAAUAGGUCUUUCAUCCGAAAGGUGUGAAGACCUAAUAAUAGGGAAAAAACUGGAGUUGUCGUUCGUUUUACGUUGAUAGGAUAGAUAGCACACAAACUACAUUCAGUUGUCAGUGGAGGGUAAAAAAAAAGGGGGGGCCAAAAGAGGGUCUCGGAGAGGAUUUUUUUUUUUUUUUUAUAUUAAUGGAACAGAAUGGUUAAAAAGGCCUUUUUACAAUAUAAAUCAAUUGCUUUUAAAAAGCAAUUGUGAACGGUCUUUCACCCCCUUAAAAAGAUGAUUGAUUGAUGUGUGUGUGUGUGUGUGUGUGUGUGUGUGUGUGUGUGUGUGUGUGUGUGUGUGUGUGUGUGUGUGUGUGUGUUUGUUUGUUUGUUUGUUUGUUUGUUUGUUUGUUUGUUUGUGUAAGGGGUCUAUAGUAUUGUGUUACCGGAGAAGUUUCAUGUUUAGUUUGGAAA